rnacentral:rRNA from 1 species
AUUGAACGCUGGCGGCAUGCUUUACACAUGCAAGUCGAACGGUAGAGGGGGCAACCCCUUGAGAGUGGCGAACGGGUGAGUAAUGCAUCGGAACGUGCCCAGUCGUGGGGGAUAGCCCGGGGAAACCCGGAUUAAUACCGCAUACGACCUGAGGGUGGAAGCGGGGGACCGAAAGGCCUCGCGCGAUUGGAGCGGCCGAUGUCGGAUUAGGUAGUUGGUGGGGUAAAGGCCUACCAAGCCUGCGAUCCGUAGCUGGUCUGUGAGGACGACCAGCCACACUGGGACUGAGACACGGCCCAGACUCCUACGGGGGGCAGCAGUGGGGAAGUUUGGACAAUGGGCGCAAGCCUGAUCCAGCCAUGCCGCGUGCGGGAAGAAGGCCUUCGGGUUGUAAACCGCUUUUGUCAGGGAAGAAAUCCUUUGGACUAAUACUCUGGGGGGAUGACGGUACCUGAAGAAUAAGCACCGGCUAACUACGUGCCAGCCGCCGCGGUAA